UACGGAGGGUGCAAGCGUUAUCCGGAUUCACUGGGUUUAAAGGGUGCGUAGGUGGGUUGGUAAGUCAGUGGUGAAAUCUCCAGGCUUAACUUGGAAACUGCCAUUGAUACUAUCAAUCUUGAAUACCGUGGAGGUCAGCGGAAUAUGUCAUGUAGCGGUGAAAUGCUUAGAUAUGACAUAGAACACCAAUUGCGAAGGCAGCUGGCUACACGAAUAUUGACACUGAUGCACGAAAGCGUGGGGAUCGAUCCGG
rnacentral:rRNA from 1 species